AGCGAACGCUGGCGGCAGGCUUAACACAUGCAAGUCGAGCGGGCACUUUCGGGUGUCCGCGGCGGACGGGUGAGUAACGCGUGGGAACGUGCCCUCUGGUUCGGAAUAACUCAGGGAAACUUGAGCUAAUACCGGAUACGCCCUUUUGGGGAAAGGCUUGCUGCCGGAGGAUCGGCCCGCGUCUGAUUAGCUAGUUGGUGAGGUAACGGCUCACCAAGGCGACGAUCAGUAGCUGGUCUGAGAGGAUGAUCAGCCACACUGGGACUGUGACACGGCCCAGACUCCUACGGGAGGCAGCAGUGGGGAAUAUUGGACAAUGGGCGCAAGCCUGAUCCAGCCAUGCCGCGUGAGUGAUGAAGGCCUUAGGGUUGUAAAGCUCUUUUAUCCGGGACGAUAAUGACGGUACCGUAGGAAUAAGCCCCGGCUAACUUCGUG
rnacentral:rRNA from 1 species